AUACUACAUCGUAUUAUUUCUAUCCAGAACACUGGAAGCUACGGGAAUUUUGACCAUUCAGGAGGGCAGACACAUCUACAAAGUUCCAUGGCACAGAACAUAAGUUUUUUGACUCAAGAUGUGGGACAUAGCCAUAUGUCUUAGAAAGUGUCAACCAGAAGUCAAGAAAGCCUGUUGAUGAUUUGGGCUGUGGUUGGGAUGUGCACUUCAUCCAAUUUUCUCCCAUCUGUGAGAUCUCUCAUGGAGUGAUUGUGAACGGACUUGUGCUAAAAGAAAGCAAAGGGGGUGAAUACUAUGAGAGUUCAGCCACAUCAAGAGGAAGCGAUUUUGUGCUGUCACAGGCUGGUCAGCAAUAUGCAGUGAAGCACUCCUUCAGUACAGUGUGAAAAGCUAUUCUUACGAGUGAACUCUGCCUUUCAAAAAAGAAAUUUAUGGCUCA